rnacentral:rRNA from 1 species
UACGGAGGGGGCGAGCGUUAUUCGGAAUUAUUGGGCGUAAAGGGCGCGUAGGCGGCUGUACAAGUCAAAGGUGAAAUCCCUCGGCUCAACCGAGGAACUGCCCUCCAAACUGCUUGGCUUGAGACCGGGAGAGGUGAGUGGAAUUCCCAGUGUAGCGGUGAAAUGCGUAGAUAUUGGGAGGAACACCAGUGGCGAAGGCGGCUCACUGGACCGGUACUGACGCUGAUGCGCGAAAGCGUGGGGAGCAAACGGGG